rnacentral:rRNA from 1 species
UAAAGUGGCGCACGGGUGCGUAACACGUAGGCAAUCCACCUUUGAGCGGGGGAUAACGUUCCGAAAGGAACGCUAAUACCGCAUAAGACCACGAAGUCUUCGGAUUUUGCGGUCAAAGCUGGCCUCUUCUUGAAAGCUAGCACUCAGAGACGAGCCUGCGGCCCAUCAGCUAGUUGGUAGGGUAAUGGCCUACCAAGGCUAAGACGGGUAGCUGGUCUGAGAGGAUGAUCAGCCACACUGGAACUGAAACACGGUCCAGACUCCUACGGGAGGCAGCAGUGGGGAAUAUUGGACAAUGGGCGAAAGCCUGAUCCAGCGACGCCGCGUGAGUGAUGAAGGCCUUCGGGUUGUAAAGCUCUGUUGAGGGAGAAGAAAACGGCUGGCGCGAAUAGCUCCAGUCCUUGACGGUAUCCCUUUAGAAAGCACCGGCUAACUCUGUGCCAGCAGCCGCGGUAAGACAGAGGGUGCAAACGUUGCUCGGAAUUACUGGGCGUAAAGCGCGUGUAGGCGGACCAUCAAGUCGGACGUGAAAGCCCUGAGCUCAACUCAGGAACUGCAUCCGAAACUGACGGUCUGGAGUGGGUGGGAGAGGAAAGCAGAAUUCCUGGGUGUAGAGGUGAAAUUCGUAGAUAUCAGGAGGAAACACCGGGUGGGCGAAAGCGGCUUUCUGGACACUUACUGACGCUGAGACGCGAAAGCGUGGGGAGCAAACAGAUUAGAUACCCUGGUAGUCCACGCCGUAAACGAUGAGAGUGCUGGGG